rnacentral:rRNA from 1 species
GGGUGAGUAACACGUAUGGAACCUGCCCGUAGCAGGGGGAUAAGCGGAAGAAAUUCCGUCUAAUACCGCGUAAUAACUCCGAGAGGCAUCUCCUGGGGUUUAAAGGGUAACACCGGCUACGGAUGGCCAUGCGGCGCAUUAGCUAGUUGGCGGGGUAACGGCCCACCAAGGCGACGUUGCGUAGGGGUUCUGAGAGGAAGGUCCCCCACACUGGUACUGAGACACGGACCAGACUCCUACGGGAGGCAGCAGUGAGGAAUAUUGGUCAAUGGGCGCGAGCCUGAACCAGCCAAGUCGCGUGAGGGAAGACGGUCCUAUGGAUUGUAAACCUCUUUUGUCGGGGAGCAAAAGACGCCACGCGUGGCGUUCCGAGAGUACCCGAAGAAAAAGCAUCGGCUAACUCCGUGCCAGCAGCCGCGGUAAUACGGAGGAUGCGAGCGUUAUCCGGAUUUAUUGGGUUUAAAGGGUGCGCAGGCGGAAGAUCAAGUCAGCGGUAAAAUUGAGAGGCUCAACCUCUUCGAGCCGUUGAAACUGGUUUUCUUGAGUGAGCGAGAAGUAUGCGGAAUGCGUGGUGUAGCGGUGAAAUGCAUAGAUAUCACGCAGAACUCCGAUUGCGAAGGCAGCAUACCGGCGCUCAACUGACGCUCAUGCACGAAAGUGUGGGUGUCGAACAGGAUUAGAUACCCUGGUAGUCCACACAGUAA